GUCGAGAAUCUUCCGCAAUGCGCGAAAGCGUGACGGAGCGACACCGCGUGAUGGAUGAAGUCCUUCGGGGCGUAGACAUCUUUUAUAAAGGAGGAAAUUUUUGACUUUACUUUAUGAAUAAGGGGCUCCCAAUCUCGUGCCAGCAGGAGCGGUAAUACGAGAGCCUCAAGCGUUAUCCGGAAUCAUUGGGCGUAAAGGGUGCGUAGGUGGUUUGAUUAGUCUCCCGUUAAAACUUCGAGCUUAACUCGAAAAGAGCGGGGGAAACGGUCAAACUAGAGUAUGUGAGAGGUGUGUGGAACUCAUGGUGUAGGGGUGAAAUCCGUUGAUAUCAUGGGGAACACCAAAAGCGAAGGCAGCACACUGGCACAUCACUGACACUGAGGCACGAAACCUAAGGUAGCGAAUGGGAUUAGAAACCCGGGUAGUCC
rnacentral:rRNA from 1 species